AAGAAUGAUAAGGUCACCACUGAGACUCCUUUUCUCCAGGCUAAACACCCUCAGCUGCCUCAGCUACUCCUCACAGGACUUGUGCUCCAUUCCCUUCACCAGCUUUGUUGCCCUUCUCUGGACAACUUGGCUCACCUCAGCCUGACCUCUCCAGCCCAGCUGAGUUUGGUUCAGUUUGACCCAGGGGAGCCUGGAUCGGCACAGCUCCUUGUCAUGGCUGAUGAGACCCAUAGGAAGAAUUUCCAUACCACGACGCCAUGUGUCCAGUGGGGGAUCUGGCAGCCAGUUGGUAAAAGAAGAGCCCAGGGAGCCAGUGUUGGCCCCACAGCAGCGUGUCCUGAGGUGAUGGGGCUCCUCAGCCCAUACAUCUGGUUUCUCACCACCCUUGUGUUCUUCCCACUGCACCUUCCCCUCGUGAGAGCUCAAAUCGACAUGUAACCAUGUUCAGCAUUGCUAUGGGGUCUGUGCUGGCAUUCUGGUAGCAUCGUGCAGCUUAUUUUGUAGGCCAGUUUAAAUGUUUUUUUGCUGCAGUGAACAGUGCCACAACUGUAAACACUCUCUCAACUCGUGACUAUAGCUACACCUUGACGUCUGCCCUCAGGACUUGUUUGGUCCACAGAGGAGGGGAUGCUCUGUGAUCAGGCAAUCCUGGGAGAAGAAAUGUGUCUGUCCCACCCAAGCUCAUCACCUUGACCUUCCAACUUCCAUAGGCCCCUCCCGUUGAAGCAUCCCUUUCCCAUUGCAGGAAUAGAAAUGGACACUUGGAGAAAAAUCUGUGGACUGCUAGUAAUGCAAUGAAGGCAAGAGCUGAUGAAAGCUUUGAGGUCUUCCUUCUGGGCAGUCACUCCCAGGGAGAAGCAGCAUAUCCUUUGGAGGUGGUACCAGAAUCCACUGCUUUGGGGGCAUUACAAUGUUAUAGUGAUGCUCCUGCCACUGCCAGAGGUUUGACCAUAACACCAGACAAUAUAUGAGAGUACAAGCCUUCUUUCCAACCCUUGGCAGCCCAUGGCAUGCUCUUUUGGGUGGAAAUGCUGCCUAUAUCCCCACCCCCUUUCCACCCAUUCAUUCCUCUGCAAAGCAUAGUUUGUCACCCCCGCGGCUGUGCUAAUGCACCCCCCGAGCUGAGGAGUGACACUGCUGGAUCUGCUGAAUGGUCCCAGCUAAUAAUACCCCCCAAUACCUCUUUAUUUUGGAAAGUUAUUCAAGGAUCCAACUUGCAGAAUGGCAUGAUAAACAUCUUGGCAAAGCUGAGUUGGCAGCAAAAGGAAGUGUCAGGGCAGGAGUAAAUGGUUAGGGACAAGGAAAUGGCAGGAACGUCUUCAGCUGCUGUACAAUAAAAGACCAGAAGUAAUGAUUUGACACAUUUCUACCCAUCCUAUGUCUUUUUUUUUUUUUUCCAAAUGAUGUUGUGAUCGCACAGACCUCUAACAUCCUUAAAACCUUUCAUGCCAAAAAUUUCCGUGGUCAGCAGGAACAUCAAUGCACCUGAAGUGGGAAGUGUGGCAUUUAGCAAUUGGUUACUACAGAAGCAGAAUAAGGGCAGAGUUAUGGCCGUAUGAAAAACCCAGGGCACAAUCUUGUAAUUAAAAGGCCAUCAUAAUGCAUGUACCACUGAGGAGGACUGGGUAUUAAUCACUGUCUGAUUAAUACUUGAGAGCUUGUCUGUGUGAUCUGGAUGUAUUUUUAUGUGCUCGCGUUGUGUAUGCACGUAUUUGGCCCAGUGGUGAGAAGCAAAUGUGUCUGAGGCUUGGAAGCUGAAGUUUCACUUGAUCUGGCUUCUUGAGUCAUUUCCUGUGGAUUUGCAAGAUCUCAUAUUUGAUCUCUGCUUUCACUGUCCUACUAAUUUAGAAGCUGCUGAGCGAUGUAUUCUCUGAAUGAUUUCUCUCCCUCUUGGUAUUACUUUCAUGCCGAUAGAUACUCAAUUUUAUUUCUCUGAUAUUCAGGUUACUGUGCCGGUUCUUGCGAGUGGUGCAUUCGAGAUGACUGACUUUUCUGAAUGAAAAGGCUCCCUCUCAGAGGUGUGAUUUCUGUUUGUGCCUUGUGUUGUUUGUAUACAGAGUUUCUGCUCAGACACAGAAUAGUGCUUCCCUGUGAUGUGUUCAUUACAGUACCUAGAAUUAAUUAGCUAUGGGUGGCAGAGCUUCAAGGCAGCAGCUCCUGCAUACUAACGAUUUGCAUGCUGUGACUGUCCUGUGUUUUGUAUUCAAAAGAAACAUUUAUUUUGCAAAGUAAUGCUUUAGCUGUUGCAGAGAAUCUGGCAUAUGGAUCUCGUUUCUGCUUGGAUUGGAAUGGACUUCCCUGAGUGCUGUUACACCUUUAGCUACCACUUAUUUAGGGUGAGAAGUAGCUGGAAUUUGAAGUGGCAAACUUCAGGAUGGCAUUUACUGCAGGCUUGCAACGUAACCUCCUACCUUCACUUACUCUUGCUUGUAAAACCUUUGAGCUGAAGUCUUCCACACUGUUGAUUUAGGAACCUAAAUAUGAAUGUUGGUACCCUGUUGACUGUGCUGAAUUCAAUGAUUUUUCCACUGACUCACUCGGUGACUUUGAAUGAGUGAGGAGUGGAAGUCAGCAGUCCUGAAUCAUGCCAUCCUCCAGACAAUUACCCCCCUCACCGAUAAUUCUUUCGAGCAGCAAUCAUAUUUUAAAAGCAAUGAUUGCAUCUGUGUUUUCCCCCAUUAUAAUCACUCAGAAUUUAAGAGCCACAGAAACAAUCUGCAACAUUUGCAGUCAGCUUGAAAUCUUUCAGUUGACACUUUUUGGGAGGUCAGAGACUGUGGAAAUACUAAGGGUUCUUUUCAGCAGGAGUGGGAUUUCAGCAUACCUUUGGAGAAUUGGUUUGGAGAAUUGUCAGGAUCAUUUCAGGCACCUGCCAGGGGAAGAGAAGGUGGAGAACUCCUUGCAGUCUUCCCAGGAUGUCGUUUUGGAGGGUGGUAAGAUCAGAGCAGGAAAGCAGAAAGGACCCUCACUGCCAGAUGAACUGGUUUGCUCAAGAACUGACUAUGCCACUGUUUUCCAGUUUUUAUUUCUUUGUAACUCUGUGUUUUACUAGGGCUGAAAGUGGCAACAAAUCUUAGGAGAUCUCUUGUGCUGUUGCCUGUGUGAUUUUUCAGGACACCAAGGGAUCAACCUGGGCAACAGCAAUGACUGUGCUGGUGUCUGGGAAGGCAUUGACCAGUGCAUGCAGUCAGCCAUGAGUCACUCGUGUGGGACAAAUCUGCUGUCAUUUGUAGCUGAUUUCACGAAACCAUGCGCUCUCCUUCACCCUCUCCCAAAAUACAAACAAAGUUUAUUGAAAUGAGGAGACUGUGAAGAAAAGGGGUCUUUUCAAAACCCUUGCUUUCUCACUGGGCACUCCGUUGCCCUCGUAAUAUUCAGCAGUAUGUGAUUUAUAGCUCCCCUGACACGAUGGUUUGGUGUUUCCUUUGUGUGCAUAACUUCCUUUUGAUAUAAAGGGAUGAUAACAAACCUAAACUGUAAUCUCACUAGCACAUGACACAUUGUCUUUGUGGUGCAGAUGGCAGGAAAAUGCUCUGAUCUUGAGUUCAGCACUUCAGCCUUCCCACCCCCACCCCAAAUUCCACCCUGGUAACAGGGUGGGCAUUAGCAAGUUUAGUGAGACAGCAGUGUUGGUGGGGGCGAUUCCUUCAGAUGCAGUGAUGCAGGAUGAUGGUUUUGGGAGUCCCACUGGAGUUGAGUUCCUGGUAUGGACUCAGCAAGAGAUGGGUGCACAGCUGCUUCUUUAUCUUCUUCUUACCUUUUUGUGCUGAAUGACUAGAAGGAAAAACUGCUACAAAACCUUCACUUACCGCUGUCAGUCCCCCAGCAGAGCUUUCCUUCUGUGCAUUCCCAACUCAACGUGCCCUGGCCCAUCAAAUCAAAAAAAUAAUGUGCACGAACUCUGCAACUGUCACGGCAACCUCAGGAUUAGUCCUAAAGCCGGGCUACUUUUGGCAUGAGGGAAGGGCUGCUCUUCUCUUGAGAUGCCUUUCCACCCUUGAGAGGUUUCUGCAUUUUUGAUACAGCUGCUUCCAGAGCCUCAUGGGAGCUGAACAAACAGAUGUCAAAUACUCUGUUCUUACUUCAGGGAGCACAAAAGUGGAUGGGUCUGGGAUAAACACUGGAGCUGUGCACACCUUUUCCUCCCCUCCUCGGGGAUUAUUUGAAUUAGGCUUGAACCCUUAAGUGUAUUUCAAAAAGUUGCCUUCUGAUGGCCAAAAUUCACUUGGGUGUUCCUCCCUGUCUUGCACAGCUAUUGUGAGACCAACCCUUCUGAACACUCAUGUCCCCUUUAUUGCAAAACUCUUUGAUUGGCCUCAGCAGGUGACACAACGGACAGUUGACUACUUACUUUAGCAAAACCAGUUUUCAUGGCUUGACCUCCUUUUCUGACCCAGUGUCUUGCUGUGAGUAGAGGGUCCUAUUCAGUUUCUGAGCAGUUGUAAUUGCAGGAUUACCCAGUCCAGGCCCAGCCGUGGGAGAAACCCCCCCACAGGCAUUGAUCAGGAAAGGCUUCUGGAGUUAAAUUAAGCUUUUGAAAUAUGGAAAUGAGGACAUGGCUUAGUCAGGCGUUCAGUGGCAUAUGAUGCACAGGGGAAAUGAGUUAUAUGCACCCUAUUUGUGUCCCUCUGAACCCAGCCCUCAGCUUCAGGGCUGCUCGGUGACAUGACCCAUGCAGAACUUUAAAGAUGCUUGACAAUGUUUGAUUUCAAAGGGUGCCAGUCCACCCUCUUCUCCAGGCAGAUAUUUUUCCUUGUGUCAACAUCCUCAUAACAACUCCAGCUAGGCAAAUAUAGCACAUGGCUUAUGAGUGUCCUGGAAGGACUCAGAGGUGGAGAGUUAGAGCUAAAGAAGGUUCAUGGUUAACCCCAUGCACCACUGAAUAGCUUUUCCAGGGAUAAAUCACAGCACAUGAUGAAGAAGCUGGGAGGAGAGUUUAAUGGUCCUGCAGAGAGCACCACCUUAGACAGCCAUCCCUCAAGAUAUUCCCAAGGAUUCUCAUGGAAAAUAAUCCUACGCUCCUUUUAUGUCCUUGUAAUCACACACAUAUUAUGCUUCCCUGCCCUGUUCUAAGGAGAAAGGUAAUUAGUCACUCCACACAAACCUUUUGGGACUAUGCCUAUACUCCAGUAUGGAAUACAGCUCUGUCUAGAAGGGAAUAAAAAUGCACAACUCUGCUCUGUGUGUGGUUAUUAACAGAAGCUGCCAUUCGCAGGAACUGGGUGCAAGGCCUUCCACGUGCUCCCUGCCAGCUGCAUCUCCAGCAGCAUUGGCUGCCAGGCUUAACAAAGCCCAGAAAUGGAAGCCCAGGUUAUGAGAGCUUCACACCUGUAACGCCAAAAGCACAGGCUUGACUCCUGCUCACAAAACUCCCUUGUUUUAGAUAGCAGGCUCUCCAGUUUCUUAGAGAGGAAAAAAAAAAAAAAAGAAGAAAGGCUGGUUAUUGCUGGGUGUGUGUUCUGACCUUAAAAGCUGAAAGUAAAAACUCUUCCAGAUAUGGGGUGUGCUGAAGUGGCAGCUGAAGGGCUUUUUUUGUUCGUUCUACAGUUAAUACCAUCAUGCUAAAAUUGCACAGGGAGGAGUGGGGGUUAAUUUAAGAUUUAGUGUGACCAAAAAGAAUUAUUUAAAAAACAACAAAUGGACGACAUUCUGAAAAAUAAGCUUGAUUUCCAUAGUCAGGAGUACUUGACUUAAGUUGCAGGGACUGUGAAGGAAGCCUCCUGGAUCCAUGGCAGGUAAACAUUUGCUUUUGACUCUGUUUUUCUCUUCAAGUGUAGAAACCCCAGCAUUUACACUUAAAUGGAUGUGCUGUAAGCUAUGUUUAGGAAGAGAAUUUCAUCCCCUCCUGCACGUACUUUUAACACAUGAUAAUUAUUUGACUGCAGCUUUACAAAGUAUGGCUGGAGGGAUGGUUUGUAAGGGAGGAGUUACAUGGCACUGAUAACUGCCUGACUCAGCCCCACUGAAGGCAGUGGCAGCAGGAUCAGGCCAUCCAGAAGAGAUAUUUUAUUUUAAAUGUCAAUUAUGUACCUUCAGUGGCUUAUGGUAAAUUCCUGCCUCCUGAUUUCACGCGUUGGAGAACACGUGUAUGCUGGAGUGAUGAAUGUCUUCAGGGUCACGUGUUCAAUGUGGACAGGAAUCUCUGCAUUUUAUAACCUUUUUUUUAAAAAAAAAAACAAACCAGGGAGCCAGAGAGCUUAUGAAGAUGAUGUUUUGGUGACUGAUACCAUCGGUUUUGUCUUCAUCAAACAUAUCACAGAGUCUGUGCUCUUCCUUUAUUUUUUGCUUUCUGCUUCUUCUCUCCCACCUGAUCUGUUCCUUCUAUACAAGAGGAGCGAUAGUCCAAGAUUCAUCAAGGGGGGAAAAAUUGCCCUAACCACAUGUCCAGAUGCAUUACCUUGCAUAUGACUGGUUCUGCUUGUGCCGAAGCCAUUGCCACAUUACCAGUAUUUAAUUUAUUAUUGCACAAAAUGCUCUGGAUAGCUGUGACAUUAAAAAGGUUUUUAUAAAUUGGUUGUUGCUCAGCUCUGAAGAGAUUUGGGUCUUUUCUUUGAUGUUUCUCGGUCUAAGAAAGUGAAAGCUCUCCUACAAGACUUGAUCAAAGUCCUGUGAGAUGGCAGUCUGAAUUUUGGCCCUUCCUCUCUUGGAGGAAAGCAAACCAGGACAAGUCUUUGUCUUCUUGAAAGAAACAUGGAUAACUGUCUUCUUUAAAAUCCUGUGAGGAUGGAAAGCAGAGGUUAUUUUCACCUUCCUGUAGAAAGGUCAACUCUGUCCCCUCUGCAGAUGGACUUAACCUCCCCAAGUAACAGGAUGAGCAAGGCACCUUUUGAGAAGGGUCACCAGAGCCUGUUGCUUUGUGCUUUCUGAAGAAUGCUAGCAGUGGAAAGGGCUUCAUGCCACUACCAUACAGCUGUCACCAAAAUCACAGCCAGAGGUUUAUUUGAUCAUAAAAUCUGCUACAGCAGGAAGCAGUGGAAGCUCUGCAGUAACUUACUUUGCUGCACACAGCUACCCCAACAGGGGCUUUGACCUUUAAACAAUGGCACUUUGUUAUAUAGAAUUUUCUUAUGUUAAUUUUCCAAGUAUUGAGGGGAAGAGGAUCACUGAGAAACAGGAGAUCUUGAAAAAAAAUUUAAAAAAUGUAAUAAAUCAUAUAUUGUGACUUUUGAUAUAAUUAGUACAUCCAUGUAAUAACGUCUGGUAUGACUAGUCUUCAUUCGUAUCCUUCACAAUCAUUUGUAGGGGUGAAGAGUGUUGCUCUUCCAUUACAGCAGAAGAAAUCACAGCCUGAGGAGAUACCCAGGUGUCAGGGAGAGGACUUGAACUCAUGAGCAUUUGGGAGUCAUCUAGGACAGGAAAACAACAUCUACUCGAGUUUAAUUCCCUGUGCUUUUUUAUGUGUGUCUAGUUGCUUGGCUGUGAGUGGUAUUUAAAUCCCCUGAGCCCCUCCGUUCCCUUGUAAUUUACUAUCAGAAAGGACAGAAAUAAAUUCUAACAUGUUUGUGAGACAUAUCAGAAUUACUUCAAACUUAAGAGAAUUUUGGAGUAAACUUAAAUGCUUCAAAGCCUAAAUAUCACACUGCUAAUUAUCUUCUUAUUAGUUUAAAUCAUCAUGGAUAAAAAUGAAAUGCUGCUGUGAAAACUGCCCCAUCAAACUGAACGUGGUUGUAGCUGUUUGCCUGGUGUGACCUGAGUAAAAGUGCUCUACUGUGCAUUUCUACUUUAGAAAAAUUCUUUAUGCCCUGAUUUCCAAGUUCGAAAAUAACUCUCUACAGAUGAAACACAUUUUUCACCCUUCAAAGAAGUGUUUUCACCUACAAAUACUCCUUGCUGCCUAAACAAGAGCCCUUUCCUUUACACUUGUGCCAACAUGUAACUUGGAUAAAGAAUUAAACUUAGAUUCUUAGUUAUAA